rnacentral:tRNA from 1 species
GCGCCUAUCGUCUAGGGGUUAGGACAUCGCCCUUUCACGGCGGUAACCGGGGUUCAAAUCCCCGUAGGCGUA